AACGGCCAUACCAUGCUGAAUAUACCGGUUCUCGUUAGAUCACCGAAGUCAAGCAUCAUUGGGCGCGGUCAGUACUUGGGUGGGUGACCACCUGGGAACAUCGCGUGCCGUU
rnacentral:rRNA from 2 species